GAUGAACGCUAGCGGCAGGCUUAAUACAUGCAAGUCGAGGGGUAGCAAGAUUGUAGCAAUACAAUUGUUGACGACCGGCAAACGGGUGCGGAACACGUACACAACCUUCCUACAAGUGGGGAAUAGCACAGAGAAAUUUGGAUUAAUACCCCGUAACAUAGCGAUGUGGCAUCACAUUGCUAUUAUAGCUUCGGCGCUUGUUGAUGGGUGUGCGGCUGAUUAGAUAGUUGGCGGGGUAACGGCCCACCAAGUCUACGAUCAGUAGCUGAUGUGAGAGCAUGAUCAGCCACACGGGCACUGAGACACGGGCCCGACUCCUACGGGAGGCAGCAGUAAGGAAUAUUGGACAAUGGACGCAAGUCCGAUCCAGCCAUGCCGCGUGAAGGAUUAAGGUCCUCUGGAUUGUAAACUUCUUUUAUAAGGGACGAAAAAAGGUCUUUCUAGAUCGUCUGACGGUACCUUAUGAAUAAGCACCGGCUAACUCCGUGCCAGCCGCCGCAGUAACAC
rnacentral:rRNA from 1 species